rnacentral:lncRNA from 1 species
AGGCAGAGGGAUGGGGGGUUCUGUUCUGCUGAAGAGAAAUGAGCAUCGCUAAUAUGAAUGUGUUCAGAGGCUAUUACUGGGUGAUUUGUAAGUUAUUAGAACGAAGAGAGCUAGAAUUUCUGAGACUACAAGAGCCCGCCAUCACUUAGAGAGAAUGUGGGGCAUUUCAAGUUGCAGCAAUCAGCCAGGCGCAGUGGCUCAGGCCUGUAAUCCCAGCACUUUGGGAGGCCGAGGCGUGCAGGUCACUUGAGCCCAGGAGGUCGAGACCCGGCUGGGAAACACAGCAA